CUAAAUAACGUUCUUGUUAAAAUUAUUAGUAAUAAUAUUUAUAAACUUCAUAUAUAUAUAUAAUAUAGUAAUGGUGGAGACAGCAUGCGAUCCAGCUAUCGAAAGACAUUUAAAAGGUCACAAGGGUGCAAUUACCGGUCUCCACUUUCAUCCUAAUAAUAAUCAACUUGUAUCUAGUAGUUUGGAUAAAACCUUGAUGUUAUGGAAUUUAACUGAUUCAAUUAGAGGAUUUCAAUUAAAGGCGCACCAAGAUGCUGCAUUGGAUGUUAGUUAUGCGCCUUCUGGUGAAAUCAUAGCCAGUGCAUCAAGAGAUCGUUCUAUAAGAAUAUGGAUACCUAGUAGGAUAACAGGACAAUCUAUAGAUUUCAAAGCACAUUCGGGAGCUGUAAGCUCAUUAGAUUUUUGUCCAAAUGGAGAACGGCUGCUCAGUGCGUCGUAUGAUAAAACUUGUAAAUUGUGGAUGUUAUGUAAAAGAAAAUUUCUUUUAUCAUUUAAUGGACACACAAAUUGGGUCAGAUGUGCCAAAUUUUCUCCUGAUAGCAGACUUAUAAUAUCCUGCAGCGAUGAUAAAACUGUUAAAUUAUGGGAUGUCUCUACUGGAAAAUGUGUUAAAACUAUUAAUGAAGUUAAAACUCCAGCCUUAUAUGUGGAAUUCCAUCCAAGUGGCGGUGUUAUUGGAUCAGCUAAUAUCGGUGGAUACAUAAAAUUAUACGAUCUAAGAAUGGGUUCGUUGUAUCAACAUUAUGCCAUCCACAAAGGUCCUGUGCACGUUGCCAAAUUUCAUCCCAAAGGAAAUUUUAUGUUAACUGCUUCCGAAGAUACUACUAUGAAAGUUUUAGAUUUAUUAGAAGGCCGUCCAAUCUAUACGCUCAAAGGACACAAUGGUGCUGUUAGAUCGAUCGCGUUUUCUCUCAACGGAGAUUACUUUGCGUCGGGUGGUGCUGAUUUUCAGCUUUUAACGUGGAAGACUAAUUUUGAUAAAGACGAUAACAAUAGAAAAGUUCCUCGAAUAUUCAUACCGCCUGUUCAAGAUAUUAAAUAUGAAGAUACAUGGUCAAGCGACACGGAUACUCGAGAAGAAUCAAGACACGAGAAAACUGAAGAUUAUGUAGAACAGCAAGAGAAAUAGGACUCGGUGGUAAGAAAAAGAAGAAAGAGAAAAGUAACUUUGGUGUUUUAUUCCACGUCAAAUCUUUUAUAUAUCUUAUCAGUGAUAUGGCGUCGCAGGUCUACGAAUUUCGAGUUGAAAUGACGUGCGAAGGAUGCGUUAAUUCCGUUCAAAAUGUUCUUAACAAACAGGCAGGUGUAAAUGAUAUUAACGUUAACUUAGAUAAUAAAAUGGUAUCUGUGAAAACAACAUUAUCCUCUGAUGAGGUAUUACAAACUAUUAAAAAAACUGGCAAGGAGUGUACAUUUUUAGGUGUUAAACAAUAAAAUUUACACAAGCGUUAACAAAUAUA